AUGCAAUCUAACAUGCCGGCUUUCAAAACUGCCCCCGGCAUGCAAGUGAAACCCAGUAAGAAGGCAAAAAAGAGUAAGUCGUCCCAGGACCCGGUCGUGACUGAACCGGAGCUUGGUGCGACUGCUCCUGAUAGUUCUACCCAUCAGCCGCCGCCUGAACCGACCCAUGACAUUCCAGCACCAACCUAUGAUCCACCCACCGAAGACACUCUCAAUAAUUCUGAUAACCCGAAAGCUCCUAGCCCGGUCAAGACAACUGACCCGGACGUUGAGAUUCUGAAGACUCACUUUGUUGAGCCGGGGCGACCCACUGUCCUUGCCAAGUGCUCUGCUAAGGAGGAACUUCUGGAACGCCAAAAGGCCAAGCUAGAUAUUGCUGAUUAUACCCAUUUAAGUAUUGGAGAUAUAGUCUCUGGCUAUCUCAACCAAGUACAUAGCAGUCGUGACCUGGAAAUUGGCAUGGCCAGCAUAAGUCAAUUUGAGUCGGAGAUGGCUGACCUGAAGAGCCGCCUGGCCGCUCAAGAACUUGAAAUGCAAAAGGCCAACUCUAAAUUUGAGUUUAGUAUCUCUGAACAAGAGAAGCUGAAAUAG
rnacentral:rRNA from 1 species